AUUGAACGCUGGCGGCAGGCCUAACACAUGCAAGUCGAGCGGAUGACGGGAGCUUGCUCCUUGAUUCAGCGGCGGACGGGUGAGUAAUGCCUAGGAAUCUGCCUGGUAGUGGGGGGCAACGUUUCGAAAGGAACGCUAAUACCGCAUACGUCCUACGGGAGAAAGCAGGGGACCUUCGGGCCUUGCGCUAUCAGAUGAGCCUAGGUCGGAUUAGCUAGUUGGUGGGGUAAUGGCUCACCAAGGCGACGAUCCGUAACUGGUCUGAGAGGAUGAUCAGUCGCACUGGAACUGAGACACGGUCCAGACUCCUACGGGAGGCAGCAGUGGGGAAUAUUGGACAAUGGGCGAAAGCCUGAUCCAGCCAUGCCGCGUGUGUGAAGAAGGUCUUCGGAUUGUAAAGCACUUUAAGUUGGGAGGAAGGGCAGUAAGUUAAUACCUUGCUGUUUUGACGUUACCGACAGAAUAAGCACCGGCUAACUCUGUGCCAGCAGCCGCCGGAA
rnacentral:rRNA from 1 species